rnacentral:rRNA from 1 species
GGAAUCUUCCACAAUGGACGCGAAGUCUGAUGGAGCAACGCCGCGUGAGUGAAGAAGGUCUUCGGAUCGUAAAACUCUGUUGUUAGAGAAGAACACGAGUGAGAGUAACUGUUCAUUCGAUGACGGUAUCUAACCAGCAAGUCACGGCUAACUACGUGCCAG